rnacentral:rRNA from 1 species
AUUGAACGCUGGCGGCAGGCCUAACACAUGCAAGUCGAACGAGUGGCGGACGGGUGAGUAAUGUCUGGGAAACUGCCUGAUGGAGGGGGAUAACUACUGGAAACGGUAGCUAAUACCGCAUACCAUCAGAUGUGCCCAGAUGGGAUUAGGUUGUUGGUGGGGUAACGGCUCCCCAAGGCGAGGUUGCCGAGCUGGUCUGAGGGGAUGAACAGGCACACUGGAACUGAGGCGCGGUCCAGACGCCUACGAGAGGGAGGAGUGGGAAAUAUUACACAAUGGGCGCAAGCCUAAUGCAGCCAUGCCGCGUGUAUGAAGAAGGCGUUCGGGUUGGAAAUUACUUUCAGCGGGGAGGCGUUACCCGCAGAAGAAGCACCGGCUAACUCCGUGCCAGCAGCCGCGUAAUU